UGGGAUUACAGGCAUGAGCCACCGCGCCCGACCUAAUUUUUGUGGUUUUGGUAGAGGCAGGAUUUCUCCAUGUUGGCCAGGCAGGUCUCAAACUCCUCGCCUGAAGUGACCCCUCUACCUUGGCCUCCGAAAGUGCUGGGAUUACAGGCAUGAGUCACAGCACCUGGCCCUGUACAACUCUUAUAGUAAGAGCCUCAAAUAGAAAAUGUCAGAGCUGGUAUCUGGACAAGACUAUACAAAAUCUAUACCCGACAUCGCUGUAACACAAAACUUAUAUAACAACUUCAUUUAAAGAGACACUAACCUAUAUAAUAAUUCAUUUUGUGUGAGCUCUGAAAUCUUAGCAAAUGCAUCUGUGUGCUCAAAAUGCAAUGGGGAUGAACAGAGGAUGUUUAAGGGGUACAAAUAUAAGAAAUGAUAUAAGAAAUAAGGCCUAGUGUUUG
rnacentral:lncRNA from 1 species